rnacentral:rRNA from 1 species
CAGUCGCGCGGUAAUACGGAGGGUCCGAGCGUUAAUCGGAAUUACUGGGCGUAAAGCGUGCGCAGGCGGUUUGUUAAGCGAGAUGUGAAAGGCCUGGGCUCAACCUAGGAAUAGCAUUUCGAACUGGCGAACUAGAGUCUUGUAGAGGGGGGUAGAAUUCCAGGUGUAGCGGUGAAAUGCGUAGAGAUCUGGAGGAAUACCGGUGGCGAAGGCGGCCCCCUGGACAAAGACUGACGCUCAUGCACGAAAGCGUGGGGAGCAAACAGGAUUAGAUACCCGCGUAGUCCCUGUCUCUUAUACA